rnacentral:siRNA from 1 species
AGUACGCGUAGCAGUUCCCUCGCA